UACAGAGGGUGCAAACGUUGCUCGGAAUCACUGGGCGUAAAGGGCGCGUAGGCGGGGAUGUAAGUCGGGCGUGAAAUCCCCAGGCUCAACCUGGGAACUGCACUCGAAACUGCGUUUCUUGAGUAUCGGAGAGGAAAGCGGAAUUCCUGGUGUAGAGGUGAAAUUCGUAGAUAUCAGGAGGAACACCAGUGGCGAAGGCGGCUUUCUGGACGGUAACUGACGCUGAGGCGCGAAAGCGUGGGGAGCAAACAGG
rnacentral:rRNA from 1 species